AUACGGAGGAUCCGAGCGUUAUCCGGAUUUAUUGGGUUUAAAGGGUGCGCAGGCGGCCAUUUAAGUCAGCGGUUAAAUCGUGGGGCUCAACCCCAUUCUGCCGUUGAUACUGGGUGGCUUGGUUGCGGUCGAGGUUGGCGGAAUUCGUUGUGUAGCGGUGAAAUGCAUAGAUAUGAUGAAGAACACCGAUUGCGUAGGCAGCUGACCAGACCGCAAAUGACGCUCAUGCACGAAAGUGCGGGGAUCGAACAGGAUUAGAUACCCUGGUAGUCCGCACAGUAAACGAUGAAUACUUGUUUUCGGCGAUAUAAUGUCGGAGGCAAAGCGAAAGCGAUAAGUAUUCCACCUGGGGAGUACGCCGGCAACGGUGAAACUCAAAUGAAUUGACGGGG
rnacentral:rRNA from 1 species